rnacentral:lncRNA from 1 species
GUUUCCAAGGCCAGGGCUGAGGAGGCAGGAAGUGGUGUCUGGAGCCCUCUCCGCCCCACCUCCCCCCAAAUCCUGCUGGGGAGUCCAUCCAGAGUGUAGCAGUGACGUCUCAAUAACACUCCUAUCUACAGUGACUCUCAGAAGGAAACCUUCAUUGGCAGUACAUAUCCUGAACGGACUCAGGCUCUCUCUGCUUUUGCACAGUCUCUUCUCUGGCGGUGUCCACUGUGGAUGAAGGAGGUCACUCAUGGAUAAAGGAGGUCAUGGAAGUUGGUCGCUCUGGUUCGAAUGAGAAUGCCAAUCACAGUUACUAGAAUUUGAAUACUUGAUCACAACUGGGAAGGUAGAGAGUUGUGGCCUUGAUGGAGAGGGUAAGUUCCCGGAGGUGGGCUUUGAGGUUCAAAGACCUGGGGUCAUUUGAGUUUGCUCUAUAUUUCUUAUUCACAGUUUAAGAUGAGAGCUCUCAACUUUCAGCUCCAGCCACAAUGCCUCUGUUCUAGUAUCAAUGACUCUUACCCAUCUUGGUCCAUACAGUCUAAAUAAACUAACUCUUGUACAAGUUGCCUAGACCAUGGUGUUUUAUCACAGAGAUAGGAAAAGUAAC